UACGUAGGGGGCUAGCGUUAUCCGGAUUUACUGGGCGUAAAGGGUGCGUAGGUGGUUUCUUAAGUCAGAGGUGAAAGGCUACGGCUCAACCGUAGUAAGCCUUUGAAACUGAGAAACUUGAGUGCAGGAGAGGAGAGUGGAAUUCCUAGUGUAGCGGUGAAAUGCGUAGAUAUUAGGAGGAACACCAGUUGCGAAGGCGGCUCUCUGGACUGUAACUGACACUGAGGCACGAAAGCGUGGGGAGCAAACAGGAUUAGAUACCCCCGUAGUCCCUGAG
rnacentral:rRNA from 1 species